UACGAAGGGGGCUAGCGUUGCUCGGAAUCACUGGGCGUAAAGCGCACGUAGGCGGAUCGUUAAGUCGGGGGUGAAAUCCUGGAGCUCAACUCCAGAACUGCCUUCGAUACUGGCGAUCUUGGAGUCCGGGAGAGGUGAGUGGAACUCCGAGUGUAGAGGUGAAAUUCGUAGAUAUUCGGAAGAACACCAGUGGCGAAGGCGGACUCACUGGCCCCGGUACUGACGCUGAGGUGCGAAAAGCGUGGGGAGCAAACAGGG
rnacentral:rRNA from 1 species